ACCCGCCUCGCGUUCGGAACCCGAGCGAAAGGCGCUUCAGAGACUGGAGCGACAGACCUGCAGGAGCCUGGGUUGCCCGCUGAGCUGCAGUUGCCGCUGCUUCCCAGCCGCCGCUGCCAGCGCGGGUCUGAAGAGUGACAGCGCUGCAAAAUCUGGAGGGAGCAUCGAACUCCGCGCCUUUAGGAAACAGGUGCAUGCGCCAAACGCCUGGUAACCAUUCAUGAGCCUGAGGCUGUGAGAAAUGCUCUCUGUGCAAAGGGGAACUCUCACCAGAUAUUCUGAAGCUCUCCUAGAAAUACAUUUUUCAGAUUGAUUCAGCAUUACCAGCUUAUCCAACAAAAGUAUUAACAUAUUCAUUAACAACGUCGAAAGUAGCCUACUUUAAGAGAAAAUAUGCAGAAGAAGAAGAUUUACAUCAAGAUUACCAUGGGUAUUUUCCAAAACACCUGAUAUUGCCUGAGGACAGGACUUGCAUUCUCAAACUUUCUCUGGAGAAGCUCAGGUUUCUUGAAGACCCAGAAACCUACUUAAGAAGGUCUGUGUUAAUUAACAAUUUGCUGAGGAAGAUACAUCUAGAGACGGAGAAAGAGAGCUAUGAAUACUUUAAAGAAGCUCCCUGUUAUAAGACUGCUUAUUCUGAUACAAGAAAACGGCUGAAGUUUAUGGUACAGGAAUGCUGUUCUCAGUCUCUCUAUUAUGAAGAGCUGCAUUCGUAUCAUAUUGUGCCUUAUGCUUCGGAGAAUGCCAUUUAUGGAAUGGGCUACACUGGCAGCCACUUGGAGCAAAAUUCUCAGUUGCUUAUUUAUAAAAUGAAUUAAAGUAAUUGUUAAGUCCAUUGAUACUUUGUUUCUAAAUGCCUGAACUGUUUAUAGUGAAGAUGUUAACCUAAGGCACUAAUUAACAGUGCGCUGAGAUCACAGACGGAAUGCAUGCUGACCUGAGUGGAGAAAGCCAUGGCUAUCACUCAGCAGUCCUUAAUAUAGCAAGUCAAAUUGAAAAUAUAUCCACAUAUUAUACAGCAGCAAAUAAAUGCUUUAGGAGCAAAAACUUUUUUUUUUAAAGA